GAUGAACGCUGGCGGCGUGCCUAAUACAUGCAAGUCGAGCGAAGCGGGGACGGGUGAGUAACACGUGGAUAACCUCCUAUAAGACGGGGAUAACUUCGGGAACCCGGAGCUAACCCGGAUACUUCUAGAUGGAUCCGCGCUGCUUUAGCGAGUUGGUAAGGUAACGGCUUACCAAGGCAACGAUGCAUAGCCGACCUGAGGGGGUGAUCGGCCACACUGGAACGGAGACGCGGUCAAAACCCCUACGGGAGGCAGCAGGAGGAAAUCUUCCGCAGUGGGCGAAGCCCUGAAGGAGCAAGGCCGCGUGGGUGAUGAAGGCUUUCGGAUCGUAAAACUCUGUUAUGAGGGAAACGGUACCUAAUCAGAAGGCCCCGGCUAACUACGUGCCGGCAGCCGCGGUAAUU
rnacentral:rRNA from 1 species